GGAGUAACGCGUGGAGUUAUUCUGCCCUCGAGGUGGGGGAGUAACCCGGGGAAACUCGGGCUAAUACCGCAUAUGACCGUGAGGUCAAAGGGGGGUCGCAAGAUCUCUCGCCAUAGGAGGAGUCCGCGUCCGAUUAGCUAGUUGGUAGGGUAAUGGCCUACCAAGGCGACGAUCGGUAGCCGGCCUGAGAGGGUGAUCGGCCACACUGGAACUGAGACACGGUCCAG
rnacentral:rRNA from 1 species